rnacentral:rRNA from 1 species
AUGCUUUACACAUGCAAGUCGAACGGCAGCACGGGAGCUUGCUCCUGGUGGCGAGUGGCGAACGGGUGAGUAAUGCGUCGGAACGUACCGAGUAAUGGGGGAUAACGCGGCGAAAGUCGCGCUAAUACCGCAUACGCCCUGAGGGGGAAAGCAGGGGAUCGCAAGACCUUGCGUUAUUCGAGCGGCCGACGUCUGAUUAGCUAGUUGGUGGGGUAAUGGCUCACCAAGGCGACGAUCAGUAGCGGGUCUGAGAGGAUGAUCCGCCACACUGGGACUGAGACACGGCCCAGACUCCUACGGGAGGCAGCAGUGGGGAAUUUUGGACAAUGGGGGAAACCCUGAUCCAGCCAUUCCGCGUGAGUGAAGAAGGCCUUCGGGUUGUAAAGCUCUUUCAGCUGGAACGAAACGGUACGCUCUAACAUAGCGUGCUAAUGACGGUACCGGCAGAAGAAGCACCGGCUAACUACGUGCCAGCAGCCGCGGUAAUACGUAGGGUGCGAGCGUUAAUCGGAAUUACUGGGCGUAAAGCGUGCGCAGGCGGAUUAUUAAGCAAGACGUGAAAGCCCCGGGCUUAACCUGGGAAUGGCGUUUUGAACUGGUAGUCUAGAGUGUGUCAGAGGGGGGUGGAAUUCCACGUGUAGCAGUGAAAUGCGUAGAUAUGUGGAGGAACACCAAUGGCGAAGGCAGCCCCCUGGGAUAACACUGACGCUCAUGUACGAAAGCGUGGGUAGCAAACAGGAUUAGAUACCCUGGUAGUCCACGCCCUAAACGAUGUCAACUGGUUGUUGGGGGAGUGAAAUCCCUUAGUAACGAAGCUAACGCGUGAAGUUGACCGCCUGGGGAGUCGGUCGCAAGAUUAAAACUCAAAGGAAUUGACGGGGACCCGCACAAGCGGUGGAUGAUGUGGAUUAAUUCGAUGCAACGCGAAAAACCUUACCUACCCUUGACAUGUCCAGAACCCUGCAGAGAUGCGGGGGUGCCCGAAAGGGAAUUGGAACACAGGUGCUGCAUGGCUGUCGUCAGCUCGUGUCGUGAGAUGUUGGGUUAAGUCCCGCAACGAGCGCAACCCUUAUCAUUAGUUGCUACGCAAGGGCACUCUAAUGAGACUGCCGGUGACAAACCUGGAGGAAGGUGGGGAUGACGUCAAGUCCUCAUGGCCCUUAUGGGUAGGGCUUCACACGUCAUACAAUGGUCGGUACAGAGGGUUGCCAAGCCGCGAGGUGGAGCCAAUCCCAGAAAGUCGAUCGUAGUCCGGAUUGUUCUCUGCAACUCGAGAGCAUGAAGUCGGAAUCGCUAGUAAUCGCGGAUCAGAAUGUCGCGGUGAAUACGUUCCCGGGUCUUGUACACACCGCCCGUCACACCAUGGGAGUGGAAUCUGGCAGAAGUAGGUAGCCUAACCGCAAGGAGGGCGCUUACCAGUUUCAUGACUGGGGUGAAGUCGUAACAAGGUA